AAAAUGAUAGAAAUCCUUGAAAUGUCACAAUCUAGUAAUAAUAUAGAGAAAAACUGAUAGCAAAUGUGUUUGUGGUGUUUGGGAAAAUAUGAAUGCCCUAGCAAAAGAAUAUGCUUAGCAAUUUAAAACACGGGGCAAAGACUAGAAGCCCCUGCCACUCUAAGCAGAGCGAGGGCGGUGUGAAGUUAAGGCGAAAUUGGGAUCAAAAGGCAUUGAAAACAUUGCGUGCAUGAUUAGAGAGCUACUGCUAGGUUGCAAGAGGCCGGUCUGACUAGGAGCGCGGCCGUGGGGCGCGUGGCAGUGGGUGGAGGCACGAGGGCGAGCAUGGGCGUGGCCACGGGCUGGAGGAGCGAGGACGGCCAGAGGAGCGGCCACGGGGCUCGCGUGGCACAGCUGGAGAGCGCGGAUGCGAUACAAGGCGCAGCUGCAAAGAAAAUAAGGGAGCAGCCGCAAGUUUGGGGGGCCGCAGCCUUGGAUGGCCAUGUGUCAUCCAAAGCGCGCGAUGAGGCCUCGACCUCUUCUUUCGGCAUUUUACCUAUUUUCAGCUUUCCUAUAUCCUGUUGUCUACNCGACCCGAUUUACUCUUUCAUUUACUUUCAAUUACUUUCAAUACGAUUUUUUCUUAAUAUUGUUUACUGGCUUGAGCGUCGGAGGCCCUUCCAUCGACACCCCCACCGGUGCUACAAGAACGUCAUUUCAAUAUAAGGUUAGUGUCAUUUUCGAAAUAGUGUCAUUUGUAAAACAAAAUGGUGUUAGUGUUAUAUUCAACCUAAAGUAUACCUCUAGAUUGCUCGCAAGAGAACGAGGUCAAUCAUAGAGUGAUAAGUUGCCCAAGUCGUAUCCACAAGGAAAGCUUAACAUGGCUAGUGAGUUAUGCGUUACACACAGAAAACAAAUAAAUCCUAAACAUUCUAUUCAAGUAGUUCAAAGUUGUGUAUCUAAAACAACGACAAAUAAACUCAAGAUAAUAAAACAACCGGAAAUUCAAGGAUUAAAGAUUCUAGGGCGACAGAUCAUCUUCUUGGAAAAUCAAUUAACAAGUGAAGAUCAUGCACAAUUUAUAAACUCACAAAAUUCUCCUAACGUAGGUGCUCAAACCAUAAUUUUCACAUUCAAGUAUGAGUCUACGCUAAUUAAAUCACAUGAAUUCAUCAAUUAUUAGACUACACGUUUCCGAUUAAGUCUAAUUCCAAUUCAACCACGGUCAAGCAACGAGUUCUUCUCUCGAUCUCACACGUUGCAAACACAAUCAAGCAGUGAUCAAUUGCUAAAUCGAAUAUCAAACAAUUGAAUCGGAUAAAGUGCAUCAAUACAUCACAAGCAAAUCAAUUAAACUCAAUUGAAUCUUCAACCCUAGAUUGUGGAAAUUAGUUCAUCAUGCUGUAUAAUUAAAGUAGAGAAAAGGUAAACCAUGGAAUUAAAACAAGGAAGAAAGAUAAAGAAAUAACUGUGAAAUUCAAAGUGCAAAUCCGUUCCAAUGCGUAAAGAAAGUGAAAUAAAAUGAAAAACUAAAGUUCUCCUAUUGUUCUUGCUUCAAAAAGGGAAAAGGAUGGAAGUUAAUUCUAAGUGAAAAAGAUCUAUUUGAAUCUCUAAAAACCGCCCUUCUAAUGAGAAUUCCCGUCAGAAAACUGUCAGGGUCAGCCCGGUUGACUAGUGCGCCGCGGCUCACUUCACAUUCUGCCCAUUUUCCUUCAAGCAGUCAACCCGGUUGGCUAGUGCGCCGCGGCUCACUGCCUUCUCUUCUCAAUCUUCUUCUAAUCACCCCCGAUUCAUUGUGAGCCAUGGUUAGCAUAUCUUAAACACUCUCUUUUGCGUCGUUGUGAGCUUUCUUCACAACCUUCAAAUGCUUUAACAUCGACAUUCUUCAUUUAACACCUAAAGCAUCACAAUUAACCAUUAAGCUCAAAUUAACACAAAAUCACCAAUACUCUACACAACUUUUACAAUAAAAUAUGACUAAACUAAUAAUAGACAAUGGCACAAACACGACGAAACAGUCAUUAUCCGUAGUUCUUGGAUUCAUCCCCAACAACUGUAACACACAACAUAUUUUAGCACUGAAAAACAUAUUUUCACCAAAUAAUUUUUCCGCUAACUUCUUCAACUGAUAAUACUAUAUACAAACUAUGCUAAAAACUUAGACUUAAAGAUUUUCACAAACAUGCGAGUAGCUUACCUACUGCAUUCUGCACCACAUCAGAUCACUUUAAGUUAGACAAGUUUAAUAUGGAUUGUCAGUUGACUCAACUCAAAACACCUAUUAAAUUGACUCGCAAUCGUACGAAGUUAUUUUAGUGGAAUAAGCUAACCCCGGUCGUAUUUAUCAAGGAAGGCUAAGCAGGUCAACGAUUCAUGCUAUGCACGUAAAACAGUAUAAUCCUAACACUUUAAACAAUAAUUGGGUCUGGCGUUGCUCUCACUCGCCCUAGGCUUAAAUAGGGAUGUCAAAAAAGCCCGAAACCGACGGGUCGACCCGAAUAGACCGAUAAAAAAGGUGGGCUAGGGCUGAAAAUUUUUAACCCGAAAAAAAUUUAGCCCAAAUGGCCCGAACCAAAAAUAGCCCGAGCCCGAUAGGAUUGGCCCGAAAACCGAGUGGGUUGGCCCGAUUAACCGAACACAUUUUUAAGAAUUGAUUUUUAAACUUUAAUACUUUACUUUUUAAUUCGAUAAUAAUAUUUUGAUGCUUGUAGAAUAUGUUUUGAUUUUUUCCAAUGGUUAAUAACAAAAAUCUAUGAUAUAAAAGUCAUAGAAAGAUAGUCAUUUAUGUUAAAUCUAUAUUCAAUUUUUAUCAGAAACGAAAUUAAAGUUGGAUAUUAUGUAAACUUAUAUUAAAAAAACACUAAUUUUUGUAUCUAAAAUAAAGCGAAAUGUAUUGAUUUAAAAAAUACGACAUAUUUUUAUUACAAGUAUAUGAUUAUCUAUAAAAAAUAAACAUAUAAAAAAAAUCGUAAAACUUGCGGGCCCGAACGGGCUAGCCCGAAACCGAGUGGGUUAGGGUUAGGGUCGAAAAAUUUUAGCCCGAAAAAUAAAAAAACCGACUAGCCCGAACCGAAAAUAGCCCGAAACCGAAUGGGCUGACCCGAAACCGAGUGGACUGACCCGAUUGACAUCCCUAGGCUUAAACUAAAUGAAUAAAGGUAAAAAUACUAAGGACAUGAGACAUAGAACCAACAAUACAAUAGUAAAAACAUGUAAAUAUAGCUAAAUAUGUGAAGACAAGAAUUAACACAAAUCAAACCACUCUUAGAUUCCACACUCUAUUAAAUUCAAUUAACUAAACCCCUUAACAAGCUAUCAAGUAUAGAUCAAUGAUAAUGCAUAAAGGAAAAUACGCGGUAAAAAUUUAGACCAAAAAGUAAAGCAAUAAUAAUCAAUAAUCCAAGGCAAGUAAUGAAAGAACUAUGAUCCAAAAGCAAAUCAAACCAAACAAUCAAUCAAGCAAGAAUGACAAGUUACAUAGGGCACGAUAAUUCAAGAAUACUAUAGAAAAAUAAUAAGCAAUAACAAUUCAAUAAUAAUCAUCAUAUUAGAGUAAUUCUUACAAAAUGAUAGAAAUCCUUGAAAUGUACAAUCUAGUAAUAAUAUAGAGAAAAACUGAUAGCAAAUGUGUUUGUGGUGUUUGGGAAAAUAUGAAUGCCCUAGCAAAAGAAUAUGUUUAGCAAUUUAAAACACGGGGCAAAGACUAGAAGCCCCUGCCACUCUAAGCAGAGCGAGGGCUGUGUGAAGUUAAGGCGAAAUUGGGAUCAAAAGGCAUUGAAAACAUUGCGUGCAUGAUUAGAGAGCUACUGCUAGGUUGCAAGAGGCGCGGUCGUGACUAGGAGCGCGGCCGUGGGGCGCGUGGCAGUGGGUGGAGGCACGAGGGCGAGCAUGGGCGUGGCCGCGGGCUGGAGGAGCGAGGACGGCCAGAGGAGCGGCCAGAGACGGAUCUAAAGGCCAGGCCACCUCGGCCGUCGCCCAGUCAAUUUUUUUUUUUUUGUUACCUAUAAAUGUAUGAUUUUAAUUUUUUUUAUCUAUAUAUGUUAAUCUCGCCCGGUCAUAAUUGUGUCAUUUCAAAUAAUUAUUCAAGAUUCAACUCGUUUUCUUUACUAAAACUUUAUUAGAAUCAUCCGGUGAAAUCUUGCCCGGUCAUUAUUAAAUUUCU
rnacentral:lncRNA from 1 species